ACAUUCUGGAAUUAUAACCUACGUGGUGUGCACCAUAUGGCUGUGCACAUUAUCAACCACAGCCAUUUAUUUUUCUAGGUCUCAUUCAUCGAGCAUUUUUCUCGAUGCAUUGUUAUAGAAAUGAACAGGUAUGAUUGAAUGUGCAUGCCAUAUAGGAUAUAAAUUCUCCGUGAUAGGCACCCAUGCUAAAAAAAAUCUAAAUAAUUAGGG
rnacentral:lncRNA from 1 species